rnacentral:rRNA from 1 species
AGCGAACGCUGGCGGCGUGCUUAACACAUGCAAGUCGAGCGAAGGUGUUUCAAGGGUAACCUUGAGAUACACUUAGCGGCGGACGGGUGAGUAAUACGUGGAUAACUUACCUCUAGGCCUGGGAUAACCCCGGGAAACUGGGGCUAAUACCUGAUAAGACCACAUUGUCUACGGACAAAGGGGUAAAAGGUGGCUGUGCAAACAGCUAUCGCCAAAAGAUAGGUUCACGUCCCAUCAGGCAGUGGCGAGGUAAUGGCUCACCAAACCAAAGACGGGUAGCCGGCCUUGGCGGGUGAACGGCCACACGGGGACUGAGACACGGCCCCGACUCCUACGGGAGGCAGCAGUGGGGAAUAUUGGGCAAUGGGCGCAAGCCUGACCCAGCGACGCCGCGUUGGGGAAGAAGGCCUU